GGGCUCACACAAGCGGUGGAGGAUGUGGCUUAAUUCGAGGAUACGCGAAGAACCUUACCUAGACUUAACAUGCUUGGGAACGUCUGUGAAAGCAGAAAGUGCCUUUCGGGGAACCUUGCGUAGGUGCUGCAUGGCUGUCGUCAGCUCGUGUCGUGAGAUGUCGGGUUAAGUCCCUUAACGAGCGAAACCCUUGUCCUUAGUUGCCAGCACGUUAUGGUGGGGACUCUAAGGAGACUGCCGGUGUUAAACCGGGGGAAGGUGGGGAUGACGUCAAGUCCUCAUGGCCUUUAUGUCUAGGGCUGCACACGUCCUACAAUGGUAGGUACAGAGAGCAGCCAAUGCGCGAGCAUGAGCAAA
rnacentral:rRNA from 1 species